UAUGUCGGUUUGGUGAUAACCCAAACCCCACCCCUUAAACCUUUCUCUCUCUCUUGUGAAGCAAACCCCAAACCCGUGAAACCCCGACCCCCUCUCACUUGCUGCGUUGUCCUUCUCUCUUCGACGCUGUGUGUGCGGUGCUGCUCGCGAGCCACCGCGGCCUUGUGUUUCUCUCUCCUCCCUCGAAGCUCUCUUUCUCCUUGUCGCGUUUUUGUUCUUCGUCGCUAGUACUGUCGCGCUGGUUGUUGUUGUUCGCGGUUGUGCUGCCGCUCCUCGACGCUGCUGUUGUGUGGUGCUCCGCCACCACCGCACGUCGUCGUGCUGCUGCUGGUUGUGGUCCGUGGUGCCGCUGAUGGUCGGUUUUUCUUCCCCUGCUUGUACCUCUCUCUCUCUCGUUGGUUGUUGCUGCUCAUCUGCGACGCGGUGUCGCUACUGGUGGUAGCCACCAGUUCUUGGAGUUGCUGCAGUGGUGUGUUACCUCUUGUAAAGUAUCUUAUAUGUUUCAGGUUGAAGCCGUGAGUUAUUCUUUUACAAGCUGAAGCGGAUACGAGAUGGUGCAGUAUUAUAUUUGUUAUUGAAGUGAGGACGCUCCACUUGUAAUAGUUAAUCGUUUAUUUUCUAUAAUUUAUUUCUUCAUUUAAGAAUCGUUAGCUAGUGCUCUUGAUUCUCUGUUGGUCGUUGCUCCGCGAAAGCGUUGAGGUUGUUCAGCUUUGGGAUUUGGAAAUAUUUUAUAAAUUGAAAUUGUAACAGGUUCAUAUUAUUUUUCGCUUUAGCGUUGUCCUAUUUUCAAAGGAAAUUCUGCCGGAUUUUCUGUAGAAAUUUAUGGGAAUAAAAUCUGGGAAUCAGAGCAUAGUUGCAAUAGUUAAUCAAUUUGAAUAGAAUUGGGACUCGAGUUCCACACUCUCCGAUGUAGUUCGGUGAGUGUGAUGGUAAUAGUUCGGGUUAUCUCGACCAGAGUCUCUUUCGCUGUGCUUAAUCCUUUGUAAGCUGGUCGGGAGAAUUCGGGCUGUUACAAGUGGUAUCAGAGCUUGAGUAGUUUUUUGAUACGCUAUGAUCUUCAUAUCAUAGUGUAAGGGUUUAAUAUAGGUAUAAUGGAUUGACUAAAAAGUUAGGUAUAAAUGAAUCAAGCCGGAUGAGUGUUUGCGCUUAAGCGUGUGCUAUAUGGACCCAUUCAUAUGAAUAGGUAUUACUUGCGUGUAUAUUUGCUAAUGUGUAUAUUGUUAUCUUGUUAUGACUCGAUUGUCUCUAAUAUUAUUUACCUAAAAGUGUGUAUUUCGAGAAAACCUAUAUGAUUUGCUUAAGUAAAUGAUUUUCAAACGAAAUCUCUACAAAUGGGAUGAUUGAAAUCCAAUGCCAACAAGUUUGUCCCUUCUGUUUUCUUUGCUCCUUGAUAUUGUAGAGUCAAGUCGAAGUAGAGAAUUUCUUUGCUCCUUGAUUUCGCGAAUCAAGUUGAAGUAGAGAUACAAAAGAUGAUGGUAGAAUGGAGGCUGGACGUCUAAUGUCUUUGGAGUUUGAGAUUUUGGUUUUCUGAGUAUAAUUAUUUGCAAGUUUCGAGGACGAAACUUUUGAUAAGGGUGGUAAUAUGUAAUAGCCCUGUUUUUAAGAGCGUUUAUUUAAAAGCUAAUUAUAAUUAUUAAGUUAAUUAUGUUCUAGAUUUUCAUAUUUUAUUUGAUUCAGGAUGUGACACUUUAGUUGUCGUAUUUGUAAUAUAUUUAUUAGUUUAAAUUUUACGAAAUUAUUCUUAUUGGAACUAUUUUGAAAUUAAGCGAUUAAAUUUUAGUUGGGUGUAUUUGGCCAUAAUGAAACACAAAUUCGGUAUACAUCUUCAUUCCUAUCCGAUUGUAUUAUUUGGAAACUUGAUAAAAAUCCCUUUUAGUAUGUCGGUUUGGUGAUAAACCCAAACCCCACCCCUUAAACCUUUCUCUCUCUCUUGUGAAGCAAACCCCAAACCCGUGAAACCCCGACCCCCUCUCACUUGCUGCGUUGUCCUUCUCUCUUCGACGCUGUGUGUGCGGUGCUGCUCGCGAGCCACCGCGGCCUUGUGUUUCUCUCUCCUCCCUCGAAGCUCUCUUUCUCCUUGUCGCGUUUUUGUUCUUCGUCGCUAGUACUGUCGCGCUGGUUGUUGUUGUUCGCGGUUGUGCUGCCGCUCUCGACGCUGCUGUUGUGUGGUGCUCCGCCACCACCGCACGUCGUCGUGCUGCUGCUGGUUGUGGUCCGUGGUGCCGCUGACGGUCGGUUUUUCUUUCCCGUGCUUGUACCUCUCUCUCUCGUUGGUUGUUGCUGCUCAUCUGCGACGCGGUGUCGCUACUGGUGGUAGCCACCACUUCUUGGAGUUGCUGCAGUGGUGUGUUACCUCUUGUAAAGUAUCUUAUAUGUUUCAGGUUGAAGCCGUGAGUUAUUCUUUUACAAGCUGAAGCGGAUACGAGAUGGUGCAGUAUUAUAUUUGUUAUUGAAGUGAGGACGCUCCACUUGUAAUAGUUAAUCGUUUAUUUUCUAUAAUUUAUUUCUUCAUUUAAGAAUCGUUAGCUAGUGCUCUUGAUUCUCUGUUGGUCGUUGCUCCGCGAAAGCGUUGAGGUUGUUCAGCUUUGGGAUUUGGAAAUAUUUUAUAAAUUGAAAUUGUAACAGGUUCAUAUUAUUUUUCGCUUUA